GUGGARCAAGGACUUUGAAGUGGCCCAGACACCAGUGCGAGGCACCAAUGGGGCACCAAUUGAAGAAGUUCUUCUUCAAGGGCUGUUUGAAGAUGAUUUUCAGCAGAGCAGUUGGGAAAUGCUGUAGAAGGCAGAAGGAUUCAAGGGAGGAGAUACUGAGAUACAGAGAAAGGCUAAGGAUGGGAUCCCAUCACCUCCCACCUCUCUGCCCCCGUGAUCACGAGCGCGGGGACACGGACACUCUGCCCACCUGCUCCUUCAGGGAGUGCCAAGCUCAUCGCCAGGA